UUAUUAGGAAACACAUCCAACUCCUGGAACAGUUUUUUCAGCAUCCUCUCAAUGUCCAUGAACAACAUCAAACAGCAAGAUUAGAUGACCACAACGAGGUCCUAAAAUGUACUCAGCUGAUCGGCAUCAAACUGAAGCUCAUAACAUCUCAAUCCCACUAGAUGUGAACUGAAAAAUAAAAGUGGAAUAUUACAUGUACAGGAGAUUUAAACUCGAGCUGAAACAUCAGAAAAGGAGAAUCCUCCAGUGAUCUGCGGAGACAAGCAAGGCUCAGACCUGAAGAUGGUCUGUUCUCUCUGUCACUGAUUCCUUGUGUCGCUGUCAAGCCUCUUCAUCUCUAUCUGAGACUCCAUGUACCCAGGAGUUAAAGGAGAAUAAAGUUUCCUGCUUACACCA